CUUUUCAGCACAACCUCUUUAGAUUUUGUUUCUGUGCCUCUCUUCUGUCCCUUGUGUUACGUCUCGCUCUCGUCUUUGGUGUUUGUGUAUUUCCUGUUUUACUUUGACAAUCCCGUGUCCUGUGUUAGUGCAUCCUGUUUUGCUUCCUCUCUGUCUUGUCAUGUGUGAUUAGUCCCAGCUGUGUGCUGUGCAGUUCAACAUCACACUAAUCUAGAGAAACACCAACGUACUAAGAAACACAAAGCUGUGACACUUUAAGCGUUCCAGCUGAACAGCAAACAUAAAAUCACCGUCUGCUGUUUGAAGGGCGGCAACAGUUGAGAGCGUUGCUGCCUGAAUGACAAACACUGAGGUGAAAGAAGAUGGCAGUCAGAAAGGAACGAGUGAACAUUUCCUCAAGGACUUCAACUCCAACUCUUCUCCCACCUCCUCUCCAUUGAAAAAAACAUGUAGUACCUAAUCACACUGGACAACACAUGUUUGCAUGGCAGUGUACGUUGUCACAUAAACCUUGAGACCAACACACUUCAGACCCCCUGGCAUGUCUGGUUGCUGGUGAAAAAUGUGCAUUCUCCAACCUGACUGCUGGCUGGUGAAGUUAGUCACAAAGAGGGUCAUCCACCAAAAACCUCCAUGUGACUGCUUUGAUGGAUUGAAGGUUGUCCUGAUUGGCUGUAGCUUGCAGGGGAGACACCAACGUGCCUGUAAACACUCGCUGAGGAUUAGUGAAUCUGUGGAAAGUGCCUUUAGAGGAAAAGUUGAAGCUGAAGCACGUUGGCUGCAGAGGUAAAGCCCAGCUUUUACUUUGAAAGUGAAGCUCUAUGUCUCUCGUUUGGAUUGCACUUUCUCAAGUUGUUGAUUUUGCAGGUAAACUUCUAUGCAGACUGUGGGCAACUGCAGCAAUCUGCACAUGUUCUAGGCCCAUGUGUCUGGGACAUAACUAAAGCUGGAUUUACAUCUUUGUGUCCCUUCAUGUACCUGUUAGAUGAGACAAAGAAAAAUGCCAGUUCAGCACCACAAACCUGUGGAGAUGGAUCGUCCUGCAGUCCUUUAAUAAGACAGUAGAGUGUAACCUCUGUGCUGCUGAAUGGCAG